rnacentral:rRNA from 1 species
GGUGAAAAGCACCCCGGAAGGGGAGUGAAAUAGAACCUGAAACCGUGUGCUUACAAGUAGUCAGAGCCCGUUAAUGGGUGAUGGCGUGCCUUUUGUAGAAUGAACCGGCGAGUUACGAUUUGAUGCAAGGUUAAGCAGUAAAUGUGGAGCCGUAGCGAAAGCGAGUCUGAAUAGGGCGUUUAGUAUUUGGUCGUAGACCCGAAACCAGGUGAUCUACCCUUGGUCAGGUUGAAGUUCAGGUAACACUGAAUGGAGGACCGAACCGACUUACGUUGAAAAGUGAGCGGAUGAACUGAGGGUAGCGGAGAAAUUCCAAUCGAACCUGGAGAUAGCUGGUUCUCUCCGAAAUAGCUUUAGGGCUAGCCUCAAGUGAUGAUUAUUGGAGGUAGAGCACUGUUUGGACGAGGGGCCCCUCUCGGGUUACCGAAUUCAGACAAACUCCGAAUGCCAAUUAAUUUAACUUGGGAGUCAGAACAUGGGUGAUAAGGUCCGUGUUCGAAAGGGAAACAGCCCAGACCACCAGCUAAGGUCCCAAAAUAUAUGUUAAGUGGAAAA